AGUUCUCCUAUGCUCAAAAUUCUCCACUUUCUGUUGCCUUCUGACCAAGAUGUAGCCACCAGCAUCAUGUCUGCCUGCAUGCUGCCAUGCUCCCCACCACGAUGACAAUGAACUGAACCUCUGAAAGCGUAAGCAAGCCACCCCAAUCAAGUGUUUUCCUUAUGAGAGUUGAUAGAAACCCUAAUGAAGACAAAGGCCAUCACAGAAAGAAGGCUUAGAGGUCAAUGAUGCUUCUUCAGGCCAGAACAUUGCUUUCAGGAGAUCCAGCUCAGAAGAUUACUUAAUAAGGGCCAAGAAAUCAUCAUCAUCAUCAUCAUCAUCAUCAUCAUCAUCAUCAUCGUAAACGGAAUUAUUGAUUUUGUAGGUGAUUGCAUCUAGCAUCAGAAUACAUAAGGAGUAUGGACUUCAGCUUUAAAUUCAGGAGUCAUGGUGGAUCUCACCAGAGAGAAGGCAUUCAAGGGAAACAUUAUAGACAAGAGGAAUUAUCAUCUGAAUCUUGAGGAAAAACCUUUGUAGUGCUGUUUGUACCCCCACACUACGACCCUCUCUCUCUUCUUGGUGUGAGGGGACCUGUGCUUCUAUGGAUGCUUACUGUCCUCCAAGGGAAGCUCUCCCCUAUGCUCUGCUCCUCACGUCUGCCAGCACUGUGGGAAAUGGAGAUUCCAGACUACAUGAGAGAAGGCUGGUCUUUCUGAGUAGAGGGCUUGUGGAAGAAAGCCACGCAGCUUUGCUCCUUCCUCUCAUCCAUGGUUCAGCUUUAGUAGAGGCACACAAGGCUCCCUACAUCAUCAUCCUGUGCUGUUUCAUGGUUGUUCUUGAUAUCAGAGAUGCUCCACCUGAGUGUAUUCAUCUUUACCCAUGAUGCUCAUUGCCUCUGUCUGAAACCCUAAACUCUGAAGCAUGUAGGAAAUAGUCACACCUCACUCAUGUCACGUGGCGGCAUGGACGAUAUAGCUGGUGGAGUGUCACUGACUGUCACCACACUGCCUUCAUUGGAUACCAGGGUAAGGAGCAACAAUAUUGGUAGUUUAUGAUAAGCAAAUUUGCUGUGGGGUGAUCUUUCUGUACACUGUGAAUAUGUAUUGCUCCCAUUGGUUAAUAAUAAAAGUUGUUUGUCUUAUGGCA
rnacentral:lncRNA from 1 species